ACGGAGAAAGGACAGGGCUCCACAUCCUGGGGCCAGACUGCAGAGAGGCCCCAAUAGCCUGAGUCAGGCCCGGGAGGAGGGGGUGGGGUGAUAGGUCUCCCCAGACUCCAUGCUAUAGAAGUAAAGGCAGAGCACCAAGAGGUACCCCUGUCGGGGGUUGUGCGCGCCUACCCACGGCCCAGCACUUUCUGGGCCCCUCUGCCCUCUUUUUUUCUCUUUUCAACUCUCCCCUCCUACUCUCCUCUGUAUCUUGGCAUUUCUCCUUCUUUUCCUCCUCCCAUGCCUAGACUCAAGGGCACUGCCAAGCCCCAGGGGAGGCACUCCAGGCUAAAAGAGUCUCUUGCUUCAGGGAGAGCCCACUAUCCAGAGGGCUAAACAUCUUCGAAUUCCCUGUGGAACUGGCCUCCCAUCCUAACUCAGGCCCUUCCCUAGGGCACAAAGAGCAGAAGUGCCGAAGAAAGAAGAAAAGUGAUUAAAAAAAAAAAAGUUAUACAUAAGGACCGCCAUCCUCCCUCCUGAAAAAUAACAUCCCCAGCACUUCACAUGCGUCAGCUCAGAAACGCAUGUCUUCUCUUUCCACUGCCCAUGGAAUUAGUUCAAGCUUGCAGAAACACUCAUGGAACCUCCACCACGGCGAUGCCCUGAUGCUGCCAACCAACUGGGAAAGAGGAGAACUUGCACUUUUCUGGUGCAAAAUUGCCUGCAAUUACAAUAAACUGCUCUCAUUACUCACAGCAGGAAAAGAAAAGAAAAGAAGAGAAGACAAAUGCGUCUUAAAAGCACAAAUGGACAAGUCAUUAACCAGCUCCUUUGGUCUGUGUAACAAAUCCCUUCAAAGGAUUAGAUGGGGACUUCAAAGGAAUAAAAAUUCUCAAU